AAAAUAAUACACACUGGAUAAAAAAGUUUAUGAAUUUGUUAUUCCAUGGUCAAAUGUUUAGUACACUACUGAACAUAAGGAACAAUACUGGGAACAAUAUUUGCCAAUAGUCCUGGCAAAAAUAUUUAUUAGACCUGACAAUUUAAUUGAGAACACUAUUUGCAAUCAAAUAAUAAUACAUUUUUAAUUAGAUCAACCCUCACUUGCACUUGGCAAUUACUGACAGGGUUAAUAUUACAGUCAUAGUCAAUCUUAAUACACAUAUAGUUCAGUAUAGUAGGCAGGAAUAAGCCAAAGUCAGUGACACAUUAUUUCACAAUAUUCUGCCAUUAGUAAAUAAACUUUGCCUUGCAAGACCUAGAAGAAAAUGGUAAAGGUUUAGAGAUUAAAAAUCUUGCAUCACUAUAGCUGAUAAACCCAAUAUUGUUACAGUACGGUAACUGUCUUUAAGGGUAAAUUUAAAUAUCUGACUGAUAUAAGACCGAAAUAACAAAGUAGCCCGAUUACUACGGGUAUAGCCUGUAAACACGACUGUCUUUGGGGCACAUCACAUAUCUACUCAGUAUCGCAUAUACAAAACAAGCGAAUGACUGAUGGUGACACAGGGAAACACUGCGGCUUACUGAGUUAACACAAAAGGUGGACCGACAAUCCAUGGAUGUAUUGUGGCUGUAUCCUUGGUAUAUAAAAACAUAAGCCUCACAUGGGUGGUUUUCCUUGCUACUUUCAGAACUUAAAUCAUUAAGCACCAGCCCUCUCCCCUUGACAAGUAAAAUUGUCUGCUGUUAGACAGAGUAAAAUAAUAAAGUAGGGCGCAUCAGGGCGCAGUGCGACUCAAUGGG